GCUCGGACACCCGUCAGAAUCGCAUCUGUCUUUAGAAGCAUGUGAUAGUAUGUUUUUUUAGGUCUCGUUAUCAGCUGUGUCGACAGCUAUAUGUAGCAGUGUUUCUUUACAGUGGAUAAGGACUUGUGCCGAUUCAAAGGCAGGCAGAGGCUUCCAGCCACAGGAUUCUCGGGCAUCCGUCUCUGCGGUUCUUGGAAAAAGUUGUUCCUUUCCCAUCUUUUUCCUCCAGGGUCAUCUGAGCCUGGCAGGCUCGCCUUCGGUCCCUCUUCAGUCAUCUCGUUCAGCAUUCUCUCGGUCCUCGUGAGGACUUUCUUGUCUCAGAGUUUUCUCUCCCUGUCCUGUCCCCUCGUGUCACGGGUGUCUGGGGGUAUUUGGUCUGGAGCUGCUCUGCCCUGCCGCCCAGCCCGGUUGUAGGUGUUUAAGGAUAAGUCCCGGGCACUUGUAAUCAGAGACUUGUAGUACAGGCUGUAGUUGGAGUCUAGGUGGUAUUCUUAUGUUGGCAGAAGGUGUUUGGAGCUGUGAAGUUACCCUGCAGCACUUUGACUUUUUUCCUAACUUUCUUUCAGAGGCAGACGGAUUGACCUCGUGGCAGAGCGCCGCAUCCCAGAUGAGGGGGUCCCCCUGAGAAGGAAGUAAAGCCAGAAAUCAGCAGGGAAGGCGAAGCAGGUGGAAGGCUGCCUCCUGAUGCUGUGCUGAGACCCCCUCACUGACCUGCCAGGAGACCCGGUUUGCUUCUCUGGUGAGCCCCAGCAAAUAAUAGCGGAGUCCGUGACGGAGCCUCGACCUCGUCCACGUGUCGGUGCGGUCCGGGUACCCUUUAGGUGCGGCCGAGG